AUGAGUCGUGGAAACGCAAAUAUUUUCUGUAGCACAGAGCACAAAGGAGCGGGAGGAAUGUGGGACUGGAGCAGGCCUGAGCCGGAGCACACGCCACAUAGAGGCCGAGCUACACGCGCGCACACGUGCAGACGUGCGUGCAUCUGCGCACACACAGACACAGGCACCGGCACACCUGCACCUACAGCCAGACCAGCAGAGAGACGGAGCGAACACGCGUGCACACACGCACACACACGCGAGAGACGGAGCGAAGCCACCAGGUGCGGGACAUGGAGACGGCACCGGCACGUGCCACACAACAGCCCCAGCUCGAGAGGUGCUGGGAGAGACACAGACCCUUCAACACACGCACACGCACGUGCACGCACGCACACGCACGCACACGCCCCCCGCAGGCUCACAGGAGUGCCCAGAGCGCUCCGGCCACUACACACCAGGAGGCGGUCAUGGGACGAUACUGCUGAAUUUAUCUGUGUUGGAGGUCGCACCCCACUGCGAGCCCAGAGCCCGGUCCUGAGAGGAUCCUGGCGUGUGCCAGAGCCCCUCGUCCGCUCCUGUGACUCCCGCGAUCGUCCGGCUCCAGAAAACCCCCGCUGCUGCCGCCUAGCCAAUGUUCCUCCUGCCGCCAUCGCGGGAGUGAAACUGCCCGCUGACUGGUGCGUCUCCCUGUGAGGUCCUGCAGGCCCAACCCUUGUCUUUGGGUCCCGGCCACUCCUCCAGGUAGCACCUGGGAGCUAACGCUAGCCCCAGGGAGCCCCCGGGGCCUGUGCGCCAGGGCCUCAUCUGCUGGGAGCACAGAAAGAGUCUGGCCUUUUUGGAGGACUCGAUUUCCGGCGUCUGCUUCUUUUGGUUUCCUGGUCUGACCAUUUUGUCUGUUUGUCUGUGUAUCUGUUUUGAGCUUAAAUCGAUUGAGCUAGUAGCUUCUGGGAAGAUGGUGUGAGGUGGCCACAGAUGGAAAAAACCAUGUGGAUGCCAAGGUUUCCUUAAGGCCACAGAGAGGCUAUGGCAAGGGCAGGGGCGCCCCUGACACACCCAGCGAUCGGUCCCUUUGGGGAGGCUCACGGAAUGCAGGGCCCCCCCAAGAGGGCAGUGAAGCUGAGGGGUGGGGUUAGGAGAGCAGAGGUCUGAGAGGCAGGUGAGGGUGUCUGCAGAGGUUGAGGCCCCCUCAGAGGACAAGCAGGAGGGCGCGUGAGCACGCGAGAGGGAGUCUGGGUGGAAGAGACAUUGAUGGGUCCAGUGGGGCAGGUACCCUGGGUCCUCAUGGGGACAGUCGUGGUGAGUGAGGACAUCGGCUGAUGAGUCCAGCUACAGGGCCGAGUCACCUGGGUCAGUCAAGAGGUUAGUUUCACAUUAGCGAAGAUGCUGAAAUGACCCACGUGUCCGUCGACAGAUGAAUGGUUAGCAAAGGGAGGUUCAUUCAUGCAAUGGGAUAUUACUUACCCUUAAAAAGGGGAGAAACUCUGACACAUAACACAAGGGUGAGCUCUGAAGGCAGGACGCUACAUGAAAACGAAAUCAGCUCAUCACAGAAGAGCACAUACUAUAUACUUCCGCUUACGUGAAGUGUUUACAAUAGAUUCACAGAGGGACAGAAAGUGGGGGCCAAGGGCUGGGGGAGGGGGUGGGCAGUCAGUGUUUAGUGGGGACGGAGUUUCAGUUUUAAAAGAUGAAAAGGGUUACCAGGAUGGCUGGUGGUGACGGCUGCACAACCAUGUCAGUGUACUUACUAUUUCUGAGCUAUGCACUUGAAAAGGGUUAAGUAGGUAAAGUUAAUGCUAUGUGUCUUUUACCACAUCAAAAAAAAGAAGUCAGGAGGUCAGGGCCUCACCGGGUGAGCUGUGAUGCUGGGCUGAAUACUGGGCCUGACGUAGCUGGUGGUCUGGGCGCCUUGGAAACACAUGACUGGGUUGGGUAAUGACUGUGGGGGUGCAGUGGGCGGCAGAGUGCCCCUGCUGGGUUAGACCCCAGAGUCCCGCUGCGUGUGUUGCAAAGUCAAAGCUACUUUGUAGAACCUGGUUUAACAGAAAGACAAAGCUUGGCCUUCAUCCUACAGCUUUCAUUAAGCCAGGACCCACAGAGUUUUUUUCCUCCUCACCUUGAAUUACUUUUCUAAAAGAAUAGUUUUUUUGUUUUUUUAGAGCAGUUUUAGGUUCACAGCAAAAUUAAGUAGAAGGGACAGACAGUUCCCAUAUAUCUCCUCCCCCGUGACCCUGAUUAUCAAAAUCUUCCCUCCAAGCGGGACAUUUGUGACAGCUGGCGGGCCUGGGGGGACGGGCCAGCACCCCGCCGCCCGCGGUACCCAGCGGGGUCGCUGAUGCACUCGCUAUGGGCGAAGGCGCGGCGACUCGUGUCCGCCGCUGCAGCACGGUCCGGAGCAGUCUCUCUGCCCUGAAACCCUUCCUUCUCCCGCUCUCCAGCCCUCCCUGUCUCCCCGGGAGACCACCGCUCAUUUUCUGCCCCCACAGUCGCGCCUUUUCCGGAAGGUGGCCGAGCUAGGCCGGCUCCGGGCCCCGGCGCUCGCUGCGCCCCUGCCCGCGCGUUCGCUCGCGUGUCCCUCGCGCAGCUCCCGCGGGAGGCCGCGGCGUCGGCUCGUCUGACGCGCCUUCCCGGGGGCGGGGUGCUGGGGG
rnacentral:lncRNA from 1 species